UAUAAUAGGGCAGUGCAUACUGCGGUUGCUAAGGAAAAAUUUUCUAAGUCUCUGACGUUUCGUGGCCUUGUUGUUUACAGUUUGGACUUAGAGAAUUUCAGUCGAAUUUUCGUUUUGUCCGGGAAGAGAUCCAGUGAUGAUGGUCGAGCCCAGAAUAUUUCAAGCCAGCGCCAAUUGGGUCAUUCUGGCCGAACGAGUUCCACCGAACCAGGAAAUAUUCGUGACCGAAACCUAUUUGAUGAGGGUAAACCAUAUUUGAAGCGGAUCUUCUACCAGCUUCUAUUAUAAUACUGCGAUGGCGCAGAUCCACCCCCAGAAGACAUGGACGCCAGCAAACUAUCAAGUUCUGGAAGGAGUGUGACCCUAGGUAUGCCGAACCUUUGCGAGAUUGCCGCCCUCAAGAUUCUCCUUUCAUCCAUCUAGAUGGCCAUAAUAGUGUACCUCGGCACCAAUCCAGGUCAAGCUUUCCAUCACUCACCGCUGAAGAAGAGGAAGUUUGAGUUUCUAACGCACCGUUAUUCAGAUUGGUUUUAUGCGAGUAGAUGAAAACCAAAUUGUUAAAUAUACCUAAUGGAAUAAAAGUGCAGUGCCGAA